rnacentral:lncRNA from 1 species
UAGUACGUUCUAUAGAAGGUAUCCCUUGCGUCAUUCCUAUAAAAGAAAUAGAAGACACAAGUUGGUGGUCUAGUUUUUGGAAAGAUGACUUAUUUCCUAAAUAUCCUAGAGGAUUUUCUAUCUACAGCCUCAGUUGUAAGGGAUUUGGUCCACGUAACUGCUCUUAUACCAUUUGUAACCUCCCAAAUGCUAGUUAAGGCACAAGGGUACCUGAUAUAGAAACAAAUUAUGAGUGUAUAGUAGUUAAUUAUAUGCAACAGAGCAAUUUAUUACAAAUUCCUUACAAAAUAUGAGUUCCAAUUACACAUAUAACUGAGGUUAAAAGUGGCAACAAAAUACA